CUUAGCUGCCUAUAAAGCUGUAACAGUUUUGCUCAUGCCCUCUGAGUGGGAAAUACAGUUAGUUUCUUCUGUAGUGUGCAUGUGGGAGCCCUGACCUCACGAACAGACUUGACCUCUGGAGAUGGAAAGUAGCUUCAACACAGAUCUGCCUACAGUUAAGCUUGGAAACUUAACCUCAAGCAUGAACAGAUGCGGUGCAAUAUUUAAGGAGCUGGAAGAUUUUUUUUUUUCCUCUCGUCACUCCAACUUUUUAUCUGAUUAUUUUCAUCUGCCAAUGGGCUGAGUUCACCAUCCCAGGGCUUCCUAGCAUCUUUCCUUGGACAUUUAAUUCUUAGCCCGGCAGCCACAAGGUAUUAAUUUCUACGCAACAUCAUCCAUAUUUUAUCAAUCCAAGAAAGGUAGCAACACCAAGUAAGCUUCACUAUUCACACUAUUUUGCUUUGAAGUUUUAUCUAUUUCAGGUGGUAAGGUACUGUAUUCACUGACACUUCCCCCUACUCCCCCUCGCAUAUGAUGAAGAGCUGAAUCAGACGAACACUCAGGCUGAGAUGGCUGCUGCUGAUCUCUCUCUCUAGGUCAUUACCUCUCUUCCAACUGCAAAUGCUGCAUGAUACUAAGCUUACAGAGGAAGAACACAAAAUUAACACUACAGAAAUCAGGAAUGUCUGAAUACCUUACUGGACAUGAUAGCCUUGCCUGUGCAGCAUCAGCUUGGUUAUUGUGACACCCUGGCAUCGCCAUUUUCACCACUGUCAUAUAAUUUUGAUAUGUUUUGUACAAAGUAUGCCUUGUGAGGUAUCAUUC